AUGCACCUCGCCUGUCUCAUCCUCACCGUCUUCCUGGGACAGCUCCUGGGCACCACGGGACAGGUCACAGUCACCCAGGAAGAUGGACCAGUCAUGGUGAAGCAGGGACACACCUUCCAGACCACCUGCAAAUACCAGACCAGUAAUUUUGGUGGAUUACUCUGGUACCAGCAGCAGAAAGGCCAAGCCCCACAGCUGGUCUCCUAUCAAGCAGGGCCUGGCUCCAAGCGCAAUGGCCGUAUCACCACGCACCUGAACACCACGGGGAAAUCCAGUGUCCUGCGGGUGGAGGAAGUGCAGGGCUCUGACACUGCCUUGUACCUCUGUGCUGUGCAAGACACCCUGCUGCAGGGAGCUUCCUCAGCUGUAUGUGUGCAUGGUGGAUCUGUUUUCGAUGCGGUGUCGGUGGUGUGCGGGAUGGGACACGGCUGUCUCUUGGCCCUGGCGAUGCCGAAAUUGUUGCGUGGCUGA